rnacentral:lncRNA from 12 species
CCGCCCUGCUGCUCACACCUGCUAGCGUUCAGGUGCCUCCUGGCAGAGUCAUUUAGGUUAGAAAACACCUUCGAGAUCAGCGAGUCCAGCUUUUGACUGAACAUCGUCUUGUGGACCGGACCACGGCACUAAGUACGUCACUAAGUGCCUUGUCCUCUUUCUUUAAACUCCUUCAGGGACGGUGGCACCGCCUCCGUGGGCAGUCUGUUUCAAUGCUUUGCAAUCCUUUCUGUGAAGAAAUUCCUCCCGAUGCUCAACCCGAGCACAUUGAACUGGAGAGGCACUUCGGGCGGAGCGCUUACCUGCCUGAGAAGGCUUUCUUUCCCUCCUUCCCUGCUGCAGGAGGUAGCGAGAGGCCAGACGGAAGCACUGCCGCGGGCAGCAGCACAGGAGGGCUCGGAAAUGAUCCAUGUGGUGCCAUCAUCGCAGCGGCCAGAUGCCCCUCAGCUGAUCAGCAGUGUCCCCCUCCUCUAAGAAGAUGCAGUUCCUGUGCCAGCCAAGCGUGCUCCAUAGCCCCUGUGCUCCUGCUGAUUUCCAGAGGAUAUUCCAGACACAGCUGAUAGCCUCAAAAAGGAGCAGUGUGGUUCUACUCAAAACAAAGGGACAAUGUGUGAGUACAUUGUGAUGAAAGCAAUGAAGAUAUAUAAGUGAAUUUCUUAACAUGUCCUGCUUUGGGCCUACCAAUUUCUCAAAACACUUUUUGCUGUGGCAUUAGAGUAUGGAAAUUGAAUGGAAAGAACUGUAAAAAUAAACAAACAAACAAAUAAAUAAAUAUUGCAAAAC